rnacentral:rRNA from 1 species
UACGAAGGGGGCUAGCGUUGCUCGGAAUCACUGGGCGUAAAGGGUGCGUAGGCGGGUCUUUUAAGUCAGGGGUGAAAUCCUGGAGCUCAACUCCAGAACUGCCUUUGAUACUGAGGAUCUUGAGUUCGGGAGAGGUGAGUGGAACUGCGAGUGUAGAGGUGAAAUUCGUAGAUAUUCGCAAGAACACCAGUGGCGAAGGCGGCCAACUGGACCAUCACUGACGCUGAGGCGCGAAAGCGUGGGGAGCAAACAGG